rnacentral:rRNA from 1 species
CGUACAUCCAGAGAACUUAGCAGAGAUGCUUUGGUGCCUUCGGGAACUCUGAGACAGGUGCUGCAUGGCUGUCGUCAGCUCGUGUUGUGAAAUGUUGGGUUAAGUCCCGCAACGAGCGCAACCCUUAUCCUUUGUUGCCAGCGGUUCGGCCGGGAACUCAAAGGAGACUGCCGGUGAUAAACCGGAGGAAGGUGGGGAUGACGUCAAGUCAUCAUGGCCCUUACGGCCAGGGCUACACACGUGCUACAAUGGCGCAUACAAAGAGAAGCGACCUCGCGAGAGCAAGCGGACCUCAUAAAGUGCGUCGUAGUCCGGAUUGGAGUCUGCAACUCGACUCCAUGAAGUCGGAAUCGCUAGUAAUCGUAGAUCAGAAUGCUACGGUGAAUACGUUCCCGGGCCUUGUACACACCGCCCGUCACACCAUGGGAGUGGGUUGCAAAAGAAGUAGGUAGCUUAACCUUCGGGAGGGCGCUUACCACUUUGUGAUUCAUGACUGGGGUGAAGUCGUAACAAGGUAGGCGUAGCGAG